GAUGAACGCUAGCUACAGGCUUAACACAUGCAAGUCGCGGGACCGGCGCACGGGUGAGUAACGCGUAUCCAACCUGCCCUUCACCACGGGAUAACCCGGCGCAAGUCGGACUAAUACCGAAUGGUGGAGGAUGGGGAUGCGUCCGAUUAGCUUGACGGCGGGGUAACGGCGCAACGAGGCUACGAUCGGUGGGGGUUCUGAGAGGAAGGUCCCCCACACUUGAACUGAGACACGGUCCAGACUCCUACGGGAGGCAGCAGUGAGGAAUAUUGGUCAAUGGGCGUAAGCCUGAACCAGCCCAGUAGCGUGCAGGACGACGGCCUAUGGGUUGUAAACUGCUUUUAUGCGGGGAUAGGUACCGCAUGAAUAAGGACCGGCUAAUUCCGUGCCAGCAGCCGCGGUAAUAC
rnacentral:rRNA from 1 species